rnacentral:rRNA from 1 species
GGGCCCGCACAAGCGGUGGAGCAUGUGGUUUAAUUCGAUGCAACGCGAAGAACCUUACCUACUCUUGACAUCCAGAGAACUUAGCAGAGAUGCUUUGGUGCCUUCGGGAACUCUGAGACAGGUGCUGCAUGGCUGUCGUCAGCUCGUGUUGUGAAAUGUUGGGUUAAGUCCCGCAACGAGCGCAACCCUUAUCCUUUGUUGCCAGCGAUUCGGUCGGGAACUCAAAGGAGACUGCCGGUGAUAAACCGGAGGAAGGUGGGGAUGACGUCAAGUCAUCAUGGCCCUUACGAGUAGGGCUGCACACGUGCUACAAUGGCGUAUACAAAGAGAAGCGACCUCGCGAGAGCAAGCGGAACUCAUAAAGUACGUCGUAGUCCGGAUUGGAGUCUGCAACUCGACUCCAUGAAGUCGGAAUCGCUAGUAAUCGUAGAUCAGAAUGCUACGGUGAAUACGUUCCCGGGCCUUGUACACACCGCCCGUCACACCAUGGGAGUGGGUUGCAAAAGAAGUAGGUAGCUUAACCUUCGGGAGGGCGCUUACCACUUUGUGAUUCAUGACUGGGGUGAAGUCGUAA